UGGGCGAAAGCCUGACCGAGCGACGCCGCGUGCGGGAUGAAGGCCUUCGGGUUGUAAACCGCUGUCGUUGGGGAGGAAGUACAGGAGGGUUCUCCCCUCUGUUUGACCUAUCCAAGGAGGAAGUACGGGCUAAGUUCGUGCCAGCAGCCGCGGUAAGACGAACCGUACGAACGUUAUUCGGAAUUACUGGGCUUAAAGGGUGCGUAGGCGGCGCGGUAAGUUGGAUGUGAAAGCCCUCAGCUCAACUGAGGAACUGCAUUCAAAACUACCGUGCUCGAGGGAGACAGAGGUAAGCGGAACUCAAGGUGGAGCGGUGAAAUGCGUUGAUAUCUUGAGGAACACCGGUGGCGAAGGCGGCUUACUGGGUCUUUUCUGACGCUGAGGCACGAAAGCUAAGGUAGCAAACGGGAUUAGAUACCCCGGUAGUCUUAGCUGUAAACGAUGAGCACUUGUUUGAAGGGUCCUCCAUAGCCUUUCAGACGUAGCGAAAGUGUUAAGUGCUCCGCCUGGGGA
rnacentral:rRNA from 1 species